GUUUGAUCCUGGCGUCAGGAUGAACGCUAGCUACAGGCUUAACGACAUGCAAGUCGAGGGGCAGCAUUAUCGAAGCUUGCUUUGGUAGAUGGCGACCGGCGCACGGGUGAGUAACGCGUAUCCAACCUUCCCCAUAGUAGGGGCAUAGCCCGUAGAAAUGCGGAUUAAUACCCUAUGUAUUCCGAGGAUGACAUCUGAUUCGGAACAAAGGUUCACCGCUAUGGGAUGGGGAUGCGUCUGAUUAGGUAGUCGGCGGGGUAACGGCCCACCGAGCCAUCGAUCAGUAGGGGUUCUGAGAGGAAGGUCCCCCACAUUGGAACUGAGACACGGUCCAAACUCCUACGGGAGGCAGCAGUGAGGAAUAUUGGUCAAUGGGCGAGAGCCUGAACCAGCCAAAUAGCGUGCAGGAUGACGGCCCUAUGGGUUGUAAACCGUCUUUUGCAGGGGGUAAAAGAGGUACGUGUACUUCAUUGCAAGUACCCUGCGAAUAAGGACCGGCUAAUUCCGUGCC
rnacentral:rRNA from 1 species